rnacentral:rRNA from 1 species
AUUGAACGCUGGCGGCAGGCCUAACACAUGCAAGUCGAGCGGUAGAGAGAAGCUUGCUUCUCUUGAGAGCGGCGGACGGGUGAGUAAUGCCUAGGAAUCUGCCUGGUAGUGGGGGAUAACGUUCGGAAACGGACGCUAAUACCGCAUACGUCCUACGGGAGAAAGCAGGGGACCUUCGGGCCUUUCGCUAUCAGAUGAGCCUAGGUCGGAUUAGCUAGUUGGUUGUGUAAUGGCUCACCAAGGCGACGAUCCGUAACUGGUCUGAGAGGAUGAUCAGUCACACUGGAACUGAGACACGGUCCAGACUCCUACGGGAGGCAGCAGUGGGGAAUAUUGGACAAUGGGCGAAAGCCUGAUCCAGCCAUGCCGCGUGUGUGAAGAAGGUCUUCGGAUUGUAAAGCACUUUAAGUUGGGAGGAAGGGCAGUAAAUUAAUACUUUGCUGUUUUGACGUUACCGACAGAAUAAGCACCGGCUAACUCUGUG